GACGAACGCUGGCGGUGCGCCUAACACAUGCAAGUCGAACGGUGAAGCGGGCUUCGGCCCGUGGAUCAGUGGCGAACGGGUGCGUAACACGUGGGCAACCUGCCCCUCACUCUGGGAUAACUCCGGGAAACCGGGGCUAAUACCGGAUACUCCGGCCGAACCGCCUGGUUCAGCCGGGAAAGGUCCGCUGGUGAGGGAUGGGCCCGCGGCCUAUCAGCUAGUUGGUGGGGUAACGGCCUACCAAGGCGACGACGGGUAGCUGGUCUGAGAGGACGACCAGCCACACUGGGACUGAGAUACGGCCCAGACUCCUACGGGAGGCAGCAGUGGGGAAUCUUGCGCAAUGGGCGAAAGCCUGACGCAGCGACACCGCGUGAGGGACGAAGGCCUUCGGGUUGUAAAACUCUGUCUUCAGGGACGAUAAUGACGGUACCUGAGGAGGAAGCCACGGCUAACUACGUGCCAGCAGCCGCCGUAAUAC
rnacentral:rRNA from 1 species